UAAAUCUUAAAUAAAUCCUAAUUAAAUCCUAUUUUAAUCUUAAUUUAAAUCUUAAUGGAUCUUAAUUAAAUCUUAGGUCAAAUCUAAAUUAAAUCCUAAAUCAUAAAUCCUAAAUCAAACCUUAGAAAAAUCCUAAGCCUUAAUCAAAUCCUAAAUCCUAAGCCUUAAAUAAAUCCUAAAUCUUAAAUCAAAUCCUAGAAAAAUCCUAAAUCCUAAAUCAAAUCCUAACCAAUCCUAAGGUAGAUUAGAAUUUUAAUAUCUAUUGAUUAAAUCAUUGAUCUUACUUAAAAUUUUCUAUACCUCUUAAUUUUUUAAUUAAAAACUAGUAAAAUAAGUUUGGAGAUAAUUGCACUUAUCAAAUAGAAGAAAAAU
rnacentral:lncRNA from 1 species